UACAGAGGUCUCAAGCGUUUGUUCGGAAUCACUGGGCGUAAAGGGUGCGUAGGCCGCACGGUAAGUCAGGUGUGAAAGCCCGGAGCUCAACUCCGGAAUUGCACCCGAUACUGCCGUGCUUGAGGACUGGAGAGGAGAUUGGAAUUCACAGUGGAGCAGUGAAAUGCGUAGAUAUUGUGAGGAACACUAGUGGCGAAGGCGAAUCUCUGGACAGUUCCUGACGCUGAGGCACGAAGGCCAGGGGAGCAAACGGG
rnacentral:rRNA from 1 species